GUCGAACGAUGAUAGAGAGCUUGCUCUUUUGAUUAGCGGCGCACGGGUGAGUAAUAUAUAGAUAAUGUACCUCUUAGUCUGGGAUAGCCACUGGAAACGGUGAUUAAUACUAGAUACUCCUUCUAGCUUUAAGGUUAGUCGGGAAAGUUUUUUCGCUAAGAGAUCGGUCUAUAUCCUAUCAGCUAGUUGGUGAGGUAAUGGCUCACCAAGGCAAUGACAGGUAGCGGGUUUGAGAGGAUGAUCCGCCACACUGGUACUGAGACACGGACCAGACUCCUACGGGAGGCAGCAGUGAGGAAUAUUGCACAAUGGGCGAAAGCCUGAUGCAGCAACGCCGCGUGGAGGAUGACGCAUUUCGGUGUGUAAACUCCUUUUAUGAGUCAAGAAAAUGACGGUAGCUCAUGAAUAAGCACCGGCUAACUCCGUGCCAGCAGCCGCGGUAAUACGGAGGGUGCAAGCGUUACUCGGAAUCACUGGGCGUAAAGGACGCGUAGGCUGUCUAGCAAGUCAGAUGUGAAAUCCAAUGGCUCAACCAUUGAACUGCAUUUGAAACUGCUAGACUAGAGUAUGGGAGGGGGAGAUGGAAUUAGUGGU
rnacentral:rRNA from 1 species